GACGAACGCUGGCGGCGUGCUUAACACAUGCAAGUCGAACGGCAAGGCCCUGCUUUUGUGGGGUGCUCGAGUGGCGAACGGGUGAGUAACACGUGAGUAACCUGCCCUUGACUUUGGGAUAACUUCAGGUAACUGGGGCUAAUACCGGAUAGGAGCUCCUGCUGCAUGGUGGGGGUUGGAAAGUUUCGGCGGUUGGGGAUGGACUCGCGGCUUAUCAGCUUGUUGGUGGGGUAGUGGCUUACCAAGGCUUUGACGGGUAGCCGGCCUGAGAGGGUGACCGGCCACAUUGGGACUGAGAUACGGCCCAGACUCCUACGGGAGGCAGCAGUGGGGAAUAUUGCACAAGGGGCGGAAGCCUGAUGCAGCAACGCCGCGUGCGGGAUGACGGCCUUCGGGUUGUAAACCGCUUUCGCCUGUGACGAAGCGUGAGUGACGGUAAUGGGUAAAGAAGCACCGGCUAACUACGUG
rnacentral:rRNA from 1 species